rnacentral:rRNA from 1 species
UACGUAGGGUCCGAGCGUUACUCGGAAUUACUGGGCGUAAAGCGUGCGCAGGCGGUUUUGUAAGCCAGAUGUGAAAGCCCCGGGCUCAACCUGGGAACUGCAUUUGGGACUGCAAGGCUGGAGUACGGCAGAGGGAGGUGGAAUUCCACGUGUAGCAGUGAAAUGCGUAGAGAUGUGGAGGAACACCGGUGGCGAAGGCGGCAUCCUGGACCGACACUGACGCUGAGGCGCGAAAGCUAGGGGAGCAAACGGG